rnacentral:rRNA from 1 species
UACGAAGGGUGCAAGCGUUACUCGGAAUUACUGGGCGUAAAGCGUGCGUAGGUGGUUUGUUAAGUCUGAUGUGAAAGCCCUGGGCUCAACCUGGGAAUUGCAUUGGAUACUGGCAGGCUAGAGUGCGGUAGAGGGUAGUGGAAUUCCCGGUGUAGCAGUGAAAUGCGUAGAGAUCGGGAGGAACAGCCGUGGCGAAGGCGACUACCUGGACCAGCACUGACACUGAGGCACGAAAGCGUGGGGAGCAAACAGG